GGGAGACAAAACAAUGAUUUUGAUGUCUGAGUAAUUUAUUCUUAGGCCGAAAUCCUGUCACCUUAGGUCGAUCGGUACCUCAACAUUUUUUCAAAGAUUGAUGAGUAAUCAUCGAGAGAUUGAAAGAGAUGUUCAGUUCCUAAACUUUGUCUAGGUCACACCCCGCAAGGGAAGAGUCCCCUGGGCCAUUAGCUCAGGUGGUUAGAGCGCACCCCUGAUAAGGGUGAGGUCCCUGGUUCAAGUCCAGGAUGGCCCAUUCGGUGUUGGGGGUUUAGCUCAGUUGGUAGAGCGCCUGCUUUGCAAGCAGGAUGUCAGGAGUUCGAGUCUCCUAACCUCCACUGACCGAACUCAAUCUCCAUUGUCCGGUAACUCGGAGGAUGAACUCGAGUGAGUGUGAUUUAGAUGUGUCCACUAGAUUGGACCCCAGCUUCCUGUCAUUCCAAACAAGUAAAUAUUACUUGAAUGGUUGAUAAGAUGCUGGGCUCAGAUUAAUCGAAAGAUUAAUUUGAUGUCUAGUAGAACCUUGACAACUGCAUAGGUAAGUCUGGAAAAACAAAGCAUCUUACAGAUGCAUUGUUUUAAGCCUGAAUUCUCGAAAGGGAAUUUAGAAUUAGAACAAUGAAAAUUCUUUUGAGCAAGAGCCGA
rnacentral:tRNA from 1 species